CUCUGAGGACGGCGCGUCAGAGGGCCAGACGAUCAAGUUUCCGUGGUCGAGCAUCACGCAAUGGGACGUGGACGAGCAGGCGGAGGCGUUCUGUUUCCAGUACAGCCGUCAGGACCACACAGCCCGCUGGGUCAAAGUGUUUACUCCGCACUACCUGUUUCUGUACGAGGUUUUCGAGAGGAUCCAGGACGAGCGGCUGGCGCCAGAGCAGCCCGGCCAGCCCAGCGAGCCGUGAGGGCGCCGAGCCGCGGCCCGCCACCGUCCCGGCAGCCAGGCGGCCCGCCGCAGCCAGCCGCCGCGUAGCCCACGAUAUAUUGUACCUAAUGUUCUAUAUACGGCCGUAGCCUGGCCGCGCCGCGCGGCCUCUCGGAACUGAGCGGCAUUGUUAGUCCUUCAAGGUGCGUGCGGUUGCGGUGCACUGCGCGCGCGCGCGCGCUGUGGCCGGCCUGCACAGCCCCAGCCGGCCAUUGUUACGGGAUCGACGGCCGAACGGUCGGCUGCGAUCGUGUGUGGUGCGAUGUUUGACAUCUGUGUACCUUAUUUCGAACGUUGAUCGACUCUAUUAUUGACCAGUGAACUUGUUUAAUUUGCCAAUGAUGUAUUCCGGAUGUUUUUGGUGGUCGUUUUUCAUGUCUUUCUGUUGCCGGCCGACUCCAGGGGGGCGCUGAGUAUGUGACGUAUGACGCAGGUGACGUAUUGUGUGACGUGUGACGCAGGUGACGUGUGACGGUGACACUACUGCGGUGACACGGUCACCCUGGCCCGUCCCGGUCGGUGCCGGGGGCCGGGUCUGCCGGGGCCGGGUCUGCCGGGGCCGGGUCUGCCGGGGCCGGGUCUGGUCUGCCGAGACCGUGGCGGAGGUCGGCGCCAUUACAUAUCAGCCGAGCGGACCUGACCACAGACGGACAGACAGACAGACAGACAGACAGACAGACAGACGGACGGAGAGACAGACGGACGGAGAGACAGACGGACGGAGAGAUAGACAGACAGACAGACAGACAGACAGACAGACAGACAGACAGACAGACAGACAGACAGACAGACAGACAGACAGACAGACAGACAGACAGACAGACAGACAGACAGACAGACAGACAGACAGACAGACAGACAGACAGACAGACAGACAGACAGACAGACAGACAGACAGACAGACAGACAGGGGCAGGCUCAGCGGGGCAGUCGGGUGCUGUUCCCGAUAGUUUGAGCCGCAGGUUCACAGGAGACGGACAACGAACACUGGCCGACCGCCGGGGCCGCCCGCUGUGGGCGACGCCGGCCGUGCCGCCGGGGCCGCGCGCCGGCCGGAUGGGUGUGGCGGCGCGCGGCUCGGCGCCCCACCACGGCACGCCGUAUGCACGGCGUAAGGACGUCCCUGUGUGCGCGAGUGCGGGACUUGUAUCCGAUCGCGUUAUGCAUGCUUAUACAUAGAAAAUAUACGCACGAUAGACGAG